rnacentral:rRNA from 1 species
CAGGGGGAAUAUUGGGCAAUGGAGGAAACUCUGACCCAGCGACGCCGCGUGCGGGAUGAAGGCCUUCGGGUUGUAAACCGCUUUCAGUAGGGAAGAAGCGAAAGUGACGGUACCUACAAAAGAAGCACCGGCUAACUAUGUGCCAGCAGCCGCGGUAAUACAUAGGGUGCAAGCGUUGUCCGGAAUUAUUGGGCGUAAAGAGCUCGUAGGUCGUUUGUUACGUCGGAUGUGAAAACCUGAGGCUCAACCUCAGGCCUGCAUUCGAUACGGGCAAACUAGAGUUUGGUAGGGGAGACUGGAAUUCCUGGUGUAGCGGUGGAAUGCGCAGAUAUCAGGAGGAACACCAAUGGCGAAGGCAGGUCUCUGGGCCAAUACUGACACUGAGGAGCGAAAGUCUGGGGAGCGAACAGGAUUAGAUACCCUGGUAGUCCAGACCGUAAACGGUGGGCACUAGUUGUGGGAACCUUCCACGGUUUCUGCGACGCAGCUAACGCA